ACGAACGCUGGCGGCGUGCCUCAUACAUGCAAGUUGAGCGAUGAAGAUUGGUGCUUGCACCACUUUGAAGAGCAGCGACCGGGUGAGUAACGCGUGGGGAAUCUGCCUUUGAGCGGGGGACAACAUUUGGAAACGAAUGCUAAUACCGCAUAACAACUUUAAACAUAAGUUUUAAGUUUGAAAGAUGCAAUUGCAUCACUCAAAGAUGAUCCCGCGUUGUAUUAGCUAGUUGGUGAGGUAAAGGCUCACCAAGGCGAUGAUACAUAGCCGACCUGAGAGGGUGAUCGGCCACAUUGGGACUGAGACACGGCCCAAACUCCUACGGGAGGCAGCAGUAGGGAAUCUUCGGCAAUGGACGAAAGUCUGACCGAGCAACGCCGCGUGAGUGAAGAAGGUUUUCGGAUCGUAAAACUCUGUUGGUAGAGAAGAACGUGGGUGAGAGUGGAAAGCUCAUCAAGGGACGGUAACUACCCAGAAAGGGACGGCUAACUACGU
rnacentral:rRNA from 1 species